UUGAACGCUGGCGGCAUGCUUUACACAUGCAAGUCGAACGGCAGCGGGGGCUUCGGCCCGCCGGCGAGUGGCGAACGGGUGAGUAAUGCAUCGGAACGUACCCAGUCGUGGGGGAUAACUACGCGAAAGCGUGGCUAAUACCGCAUACGCCCUGAGGGGGAAAGCGGGGGACCUUCGGGCCUCGCGCGAUUGGAGCGGCUGAUGUCGGAUUAGCUAGUUGGUGGGGUAAAGGCCUACCAAGGCGACGAUCCGUAGCUGGUCUGAGAGGAUGAGCAGCCACACUGGGACUGAGACACGGCCCAGACGCCUACGGGAGGCAGCAGUGGGGAAUUUUGGACAAUGGGGGCAACCCUGAUCCAGCCAGGCCGCGUGAGUGAAGAAGGCCUUCGGGUUGUAAAGCUCUUUCAGACGGAAAGAAAUCGGGUGCGUGAAUAGCGCGCCAGGAUGACGGUACUGUCAGAAGAAGCACCGGCUAACUACGU
rnacentral:rRNA from 1 species